rnacentral:rRNA from 1 species
GGGUCAGUAGGUUGGUCGUGCCACCGGUACGUACUGGUCUCACUGAUUCCUCCUUCCUGAAGAACCGUAAUGCCAUUAAUUUGGUGUUGCGGGGAAACAGGACUGUUACUUUGAAAAAAUGAGUGUGUUUAAAGCAAGCUAACGCUUGAAUACAUUAGCAUGGAAUAAUGAAAUAGGACGAUCGAUCCUAUUUUGUUGGUUUCUAGGAUUGACGUA